UACGUAGGGUGCAGGCGUUAAUCGGAAUUACUGGGCGUAAAGCGUGCGCAGGCGGUUUGCUAAGACAGGUGUGAAAUCCCCGGGCUUAACCUGGGAACUGCCUUUGUGACUGCACGGCUAGAGUGUGUCAGAGGGGGGUAGAAUUCCACGUGUAGCAGUGAAAUGCGUAGAGAUGUGGAGGAAUACCGAUGGCGAAGGCAGCCCCCUGGGAUAACACUGACGCUCAUGCACGAAAGCGUGGGGAGCAAACAGG
rnacentral:rRNA from 1 species